GAGCAGUUUUGUCGUCGGGGCUGCCGGAGAAGAUGUAACUAGAAGGAAUGGAGGCUAAGUUGGGUGUUUCAGCGAUGGAUUUGACGCUGGCCAUCUUCUCUAAUGAAGCCAUUUCCAGCUUCUUCUUUCAAGUUAAAGGAUGGAUAAUAACUAUUCAGUGAAAAGUUAGAUUGAAAAUUGUUAUGGUCAAGUCUUGAAGGAUAGGGGCACUCAAAAGCACCGUUGCCAACGGUGCAAUCUAUGGUCAUAAUCCAAAUUUCCGUGACUAUUUUCCUUCUUCUCCAGUACAGAACAUAAAUUCAUUCUUAGAAGAUAUUCUCAAAACUAGCCUUAUUUUGUACUCUUAUUCAUUUUUAGGGUUAGUCACCUUAUUAGAAAAGUGUGUAUUCAGAGUUUUGAGCUUAGGGUUUGUCUAAGUCUUAACCUCCAUGUAUUAUUAUUGAAAAACUUUGUAUUUGUCGUUGAGAGUUUUUGGUUCGGCAGUCAUUGUAGAACUCAAAAGGAGAUUUAUUUUAUAUUUUAUUUAGGGGGAGCCUAGCUUAC